rnacentral:rRNA from 1 species
UACGUAGGGUGCAAGCGUUAUCCGGAAUUAUUGGGCGUAAAGAGCUCGUAGGCGGUUUGUCGCGUCUGCUGUGAAAACUCAGGGCUUAACCCUGAGCUUGCAGUGGGUACGGGCAGACUAGAGUGCGGUAGGGGAGACUGGAAUUCCUUGUGUAGCGGUGAAAUGCGCAGAUAUCAGGAGGAACACCAGUAGCGAAGGCGGCACUCUGGGCCGGUACUGACGCUGAGGAGCGAAAGCGUGGGGAGCGAACAGG